GGCCGCCUGGCGAAAUGGCAUCGCGUCUGACUACGAUAUCUAAAACUUCUUUGUCUUCAUCAGGAGAUGGCAGGUUCGACCCCUGCGGUGGUCA
rnacentral:tRNA from 1 species